rnacentral:misc_RNA from 1 species
GAUGAAGAACGUAGCGAAAUGCGAUAAGUAAUGCGAAUUGCAGAAUUCCAGUGAGUCAUCGAAUCUUUGAACGCACAUUGCGCCCUUUGGUAUUCCGAGGGGCAUGCCUGUUCGAGCGUCAUUAUAACCCCUCAAGCUCAGCUUGGUGUUGGGGCCUGCUGCACUGGCAGCCCUUAAAAUCAGUGGCGGCGCCAUCUGGCUCUAAGCGUAGUAAUUCUUCUCGCUAUGGAGUCCUGGUGGAUGCUUGCCAUCAACCCCCAAUUUUUCUAUGGUUGACCUCGGAUCAGGUAGGGAUACCCGCUGAACUUAAGCAUAUCAAUAAGCGGAGGA